AAACUAAAGGAUUACUAUAUAGAGCGCUGAAUUAGUGAGUUAUUUACUGUAAUACUUGAACAUCUGAGGUGACACCAGAAGUGUAUAGUUGUGUAUAAAUACAAAGAGUUUGGAAGAAAGGAUCCUACAUUGAGCGUGCAGUGAUGGUGAAACAUCAGCAAGGAGCUGUGACAGCAGUUAUGAACAUGAGUUUGUUUCUGCUUCUUCUGCUGUCAGGACUUCUGUGCAGUGCUUCUGGUCUUUGGCGAGAGUAUCAGUACAUACACAUAAGUAUGGCAUGGACAGACGCUCAGAGUUACUGUAGAGAGAGAUUCACUGAUCUGGCUACUGUAGACUCGAUAGAUGAUGUGAACAGGAUGAUGAAUACAGUGAAUGAUGGGUACAGUGGAUCAGUGUGGAUUGGACUGCAGAAGGGAACACAGAGUCGUUGGGUUUGGUCAAAUGGAGAAGAUACCAUUUCACAAUACAGUCCAUGGGCCCCAGGACAACCUAGUGGUGGAGAAGAUUGUGUUUUCUCUAACAAUGAUGCUUGGAACGAUUUU